CCUACGGGCUGCACCAGUGAGGAAUAUUGGUCAAUGGGCGCAAGCCUGAACCAGCCAUGCCGCGUGCAGGAUGACGGUCCUAUGGAUUGUAAAGCACUUUUAGUGGGGAUGAAAAGCACAUCACUAACACUGGUGUGUUUUGACCUAACCCAAAGAAAAAGCACCGACUAACUCUGUGCCAGCAGCCGCGGUAAUACAGAGGGUGCGAGCGUUAAUCGGAAUUACUGGGCGUAAAGCGUGCGUAGACAGUUAUUUAAGUCGGGUGUGAAAGCCCCGGGCUCAACCUGGGAAUUGCAUUCGAGACUGAAUAGCUAGGGUACGGUAGAGGGAAGUGGAAUUUCCGGUGUAGCGGUGAAAUGCGUAGAUAUCGGAAGGAGCAUCAGUGGCGAAAGCGACUUCCUGGACCAGUACCGACGUUCAGGCACGAAAGCGUGGGGAGCAAACAGGAUUAGAUACCCCCGUAGUC
rnacentral:rRNA from 1 species